UACGUAGGGGGCAAGCGUUAUCCGGAUUUACUGGGUGUAAAGGGAGCGUAGACGGCCAGACAAGUCUGAAGUGAAAAUCCAGCGCUUAACGUUGGAAGUGCUUUGGAAACUGCCGGGCUGGAGUGCAGGAGGGGCAGGCGGAAUUCCUAGUGUAGCGGCGAAAUGCGUAGAUAUUAGGAGGAACACCAGUGGCGAAGGCGGCCUGCUGGACUGCAACUGACGUUGAGGCUCGAAGGCGUGGGGAGCAAACAGG
rnacentral:rRNA from 1 species